AUAAAUCUCAAAAGUCUUCAUUUUUUCUUAAACUCCGUGCCCAGUCAAACAGGUUCACAUAAAUUGGAAUGGAGGGAGUAGUAAUUUAGACGAGAACACACAACUAGUAUACCAUACUUCUUUAUAUUAUCUAGCAAUUAUACUACGUAAAACAAAGUUUUCUGUAGAGAUUACUUAAAGAUAGAGAUUACUCUGUCUAAGACACCCAAAGUAAUUAUAACUUCCUAUAUUUAUCUCCGAGACUCAUACCAGAACUGCUAAUAUGCUUCUUUUCUUCUCAACAAAGCGCAAAUGAAGAAAAAAAACACUUCUCUUCUGUGUGGAAUUUGAUAGCACUACUAUUCUUUCGUCACUACGAGAAGGAAAUGUUGUGCAAACCUUUGUACAGAAGUUUCUUCCUAUGUCGAAAUUCAAACAGCAAGUAAAAGGACUAGUCAUUUUCUAGUAUCAAUUAUAUCAUCCAGUAGGGAUGGCGAUGGUGCGGGGCGGGUUUACUCUUAUGCGGGUGCGGGGCAGGGCGGACCGGGUUAAAACAAUUUCUAAAAAUUUUAAAGCGGGGCAGGUUGCGGGUUUAAUGCGGGUUCAAUGCGGGGCAGCUUUGAACAUGACAACUUCAUUGGGCAUAGUAAUGGUUAUCGUAUUAUCUUAAUCUUGAAAACAUACUCUUCCCCUAGAAAAUGAUUCACGUUUACAAUCUUAUUUAACUUGACAACCCCAAUAAUUGAGAAUUAACUUAAGCAAACAAGAAAUGAAUCAGAUAUCUAAUUAACCAAUAAUAUGUUUAUUAUAACAUGUGUUAACUUGUCGAUAUCCUUGAAUAUGAUAGUGAGUUCUUUACACAAAAUACAAACUUUGACAUUCACGUAAUUAAUCCAAUAUCAAAAUUGUUUUGUGAUAACUAUCACAUAUGUUAUGAAAAAAGGUGAUAUACGCAAAAUAUGAUACCUAAACGGAUCACAUUAGGUUUUUUCUUUAUCUUAUACUCCAUUUUUAUCACUUAAUCGUAAUUAAAUGUGUAAAUUUACUUUAAUUUAUGAUUAUUAUGAUUAAAUUAGUUUUUUAUUUUAUAAAUGCUAAAGAAGCAUAAAUAUUUUACCUGAGGCCAAUAUCUUCAAAUUUUUGUUUAUUUACUGUAUUAUUCUCAUAUACAUUACAAUGACAACAUUUGUAAAUACAUAAUCUAGUAUUUUAAUUUUAUUUUUUAUAGUAUAUAAUUUGUAGGGAAAAGGUCUAGAGUUGUUUUUGUACAAGCCAUUUCAAUGUUGUGUAUCCUCCUAUAUCUAAUAUAGCAUCACAUAAUAAAAGUACUCGUCCUCAUUUAUUUGUAUGAUUGGAGUAUGUCAAACUAGUUUGUUAGAAAAAAAAUAAAAUAAAUUUAAGUGAAGCAGGGCGGGGCGGGUUGAAAACUGAAAAAAUAACUAUGCGGGGCGCGGCGAAAUUUUUGUGGGUUUUGCCAAACCCACCCCGCCCCACUACCAUCCCUAGACAUCCAGUGCUCUUAACUAUCAGAACUGAUAUUUUGUUCAAAGGUGUAGGUCUGCAACUUUAUGAUAGCUGAGUGUGACAAAUAAUACUUUGGUCUGAGGCUGUGCUCUGUUAACAUUCAUUUGUCUACCAAAUUCUUCAGCAUUGCACCACUUCCAGGUUUUCCUUUCCAACAUAUCGAAGCAGAUCACAAAGCAAUGUUUACAGAAUGGGAACCAUUUUGUAGAAGCCUCUCUAAUGAAUCUGUAGGUAUUUGUACUCUUUCCUAGUUAAAUCAAACCAUCCUACUGCUUGAUGUGUCGUUUCCAUUAUAAAUUUGAAGGAUAAAAAUUUGUCAGAAUGAUCCACCUCUCCACAAUUAAUGACUUCCAAUUUGUUCAAUUUGCUACCAGGGACAUGAAUUAUGUUCUGCUUGUCAUUACACGCUAGCUCUGUUCUAAAGCUCCAUAUAGAUGUUAUAUUUCAAAUAUACACAAACACAUAUAAAAAAUUGCGGACAACCAUCCCAAUUAUCUAGGAAAUAAGUAAACUUCCAUUGUCAGUAGUUGGCAGCAAUACCACUUCCAAUAUAUUCUCAGUUAGUUUGCUUUUGUUUCAUAAAUGUAAGUGUAAUUUGCCUAAAUUAUAGCAAAAGGCGCGAGUCAGUUCUCAACAUUCAUGUGAUCCUUUAUUAGAAAGACAAGCGACUAAUGAUGAUAGUAGCAAAAGAGAGAAGUCACCACAAUUUGAAUUGUCCUCUCUCUCCAAUCACUUCCUGUGCAACAGCCAACAUGAAUGGUAGUUUUAGCGCAACAUUAAUCCCUCUAAUUGUGGUAGUUUUCAGGUGAUGCUAAUUUCUUCUGUUGUUCCACAUUUCCGUCAUUGCUUCUUGCCUAAGCCGGGGUUGGAUAGCAAACUUGUCAUUUCCUCAUCUAAUGUUUUUUCAGUUCGUAGAACAAGUUUGCCACCAGAACCUAUGGAAUCACUCCUUCCAUUAUCGAUGUAAUUAUUCUGACUGUGUUAUUUCUGUAGCAAGCUUGCAGAAUAUAUAUAUAUAUAUAUAUAUAUAUAUAUAUAUAUGUGUGUGUGUGUGUGUGUGUGUGUGUGUGUGUGUGUGUGUGUAAUUUAUGGCGUUAGUUUAGCAUGUAAUAAGUAUUUCUUAAUAACGAAAGAGAAUUUUUUAGAAGAGGAAAUCAUGUAGUGCAACCGAUAAUUGCUGGAGGACUCAAAGACCACAUGAAAAAAUAGCUGGAUGCUACCCAAAAGCUAAGUCCUUUUUACCUUAUACAGAAUAAGAAAGUUUACAAGAUCUUUGCAUUUGAUAAGAGGUGUUACAUCUUUGCAGCUUUACCUGCAGAGGGAUAGUAAGUACCCAUUUGAAUCUAACUCGUUAGACGAAAUUGUUAUCGCAUGCCUAUGGCCACAAAGGACAGAAAUAUAAAAUACUUAAUUCACACUCUCACGGGUAAAUAUAACAAAGAAGUACCUUUAAUUUCUCAAUCAGGUAGCCUAACCUUCGGACAAGAGUUACAUUUUCAGGUGAUGCAAAUUUCUCGUGUUUUGUAUUUCUGUCACUGAUUCUUGUCUAAGCCUGGGCUCGACUUUAAAAUUGUCAUUUCCUCAUGGUCAAUUCUUGAGGUUCAUAGCUGAAGUUCCACGAGAACCUUUGCAAGCACUCCUUUCAUCACUCGACGAAUUGCGGGCUCAGAGAAAGUGCAAGCUCACUUUCUCAGUCAGGUAGCCUAACCCUUCGGAAAAGAAUUACAUCAAGCUUGAAUUUAAAGAAAUUGGAAAGGACUUUCAAAGUCUGCUUCCAUUAUUUAAGCACAUAUAAUAUCUUUUGAUUUGAGGUUGAUGUGUAAAACUGCAUUUGAUAGCAAAUAUACUAUGCUAGAAUGUUGAACAAUUCAAAAGCCUUUGGUUCUUCAUCAAGUGUUAGCUAGUGAUUUUAAGAAUGUAUUGCCAGAUUGCAUCCCUUAACAUUGCUUUCUUCAUCAAUUCUUGUGAGUUAUGACACAGGGUUGUUUAAUGUAAGAGCAUAUUGCAGAUCUUGCAUUGAAAGCCCUUGAUCGGGAAGUUGCCUGAAAUUUUUUGUUCUUUGACAGUAUUGAUAAGGUCAAAAUGUCCUGGACUCAUUUUGUAUUCCCAGUGAUCAUAUAUGUAGAACAAUACAAUCACCCAGAGGAAUUUGUAACAGUACAAGGUUCAAUCAAUUGUUUUCUCUGCUCUAUCUUGAGAAUGAUCUGCAACAAUACAAAGUCAUUUCCUCAUGGAAUGUUCUUUCAGUUUUUAGCUGAAGUUUGUGCUCUCUAUUUAUUAAGUAUUCGAUGCUUGGAAAUGAGUUCCUUGCAGUAGCUAAGGAGAGAUUGAAACAUUCACUCCUUUAAAAAACAAGAAGGAAAAAAAGGGAAUAUGAUGAUAAAAAUAGACCUCGAAAAAGCUUUUGAUCGAUUAAAAUGGUCUUUUAUCCGUUAUUCCCUUCAACACUUACGCUUUCCGCUACCCCUGAUUAACCUCAUAAUGUCUUGUGUUACAUAUUCCUCCAUAUCCAUGAUCAUUAAUGGUACUCCUACACCCUUCUUCCAACAUUCUAGAGGUACAAGACAAGGAGACCCCCUAUCAUCGUACCUAUUCAUCAUAUGUAUGAAAUCAUUAUCCCGAAUCAUCGAGCACAACAUAGACAUUUGCUGGUGGACCCCAUUCUCCUUAAUAAAAAUGCUCCACCUCUCUCACACCUCAUGUUUGCAGAUGACCUCAUCCUCCUAGCACAAGCGGGCCUCUAACACCUCUACAAUUAUCGAAAUAUUCCAACAAUUAAGUGCAAUAUCUGGACAAAGAAUCAACUUCCAGAAAUCAAAGCUUCUCUUCUCAGCAAACGUAAACCCUUCUCUUAGCCAAAUCAUAUCUAACUCCUUAAAUAUCCCCAUCACCACAAACAUAGGCAAAUACUUAGGUGUCCCAAUUACACAUAUACAACUUAAAACAUCUUAUUACCAAUACAUUAUUGAUCGAGUUACCUCAAAACUAACAGGUUGGAGAUCACAAUUCCUCAUUUUGGCGGGAAGAACAAUCCUAAUCAAAUCAGUGCUAAACACAAUUCCCACAUAUGUAAUGCAAAUUAACUUACUACCACCCAAACUAAUUCACAAGCUCGAACAAAUUCAAUGAAAUUUCCUCUGGGGCUGAACUGAUCUAAAACGAAAACUGCAUUUAAUUAACUGGGAUAAAUAACCACGCCAAAAUCAGAAGGGGGCUUAGGAAUACAAAAUCUUUGGCACUAUACUCACACCAAUAACUCUCCUUGGAUAGCAAUAUUAUCAACAAAAUAUGACCACCCGUAAGAGCUUUCUAAAAAUUAUUUAUACAAACAAAAAACUCGCCCUAAUGACUCCUACAUUUGGAAGAGCAUGGUUAAAAACAUCGAUUAUUGCCGCUCAGGAACCAGUUGGAACAUAACCAAUGGUAAAAACAUAAAUCUUUGGACUGAUAAGUGGAUUGCUAACAACCUAUCUCUCAGAAACUUAAUCCAUGGACCUAUUCCAAAACAUGAACUCUAUAUACCAGUGGCACAACUCAUCUCGCACUCAACAUGGUACACCUCCAAUCUCUCCUUUCUACUACCCCUCAGAUCAUAUCCCUCAUUCAAAACACCCCCAUCCUUACAACCCAACAAGGAGAUGAUACAUCCUACUGGCACCACUCUAACGAUGGAUCAUUUACCACUUCCUCAGCCUAUUUAUAUAUACUACACCAAGACCACCCCUGUAAAAUAAAAUUUCUUAAUAAUUGGAUUUGGAAACUAACCACACUACCAAAAAUAAAGUAUUUUUUAUGGCUUAUUGCACAUGAGAAACUCCCAACUAAAACAUUGCUAUACCAUAGAAAAAUCACUAACAACCCUUACUGUCGAACUGUAUUAAUAUACGAGAGAACAUCCCACACUUUUUUCUACAAUGCAAACCAACAAAAGACAUGUGGAACCACUUCCGUAUAAGAACACCUUCAACCAACCUCAUACAAUGGAUACACAAACUAUGCACCUCUCCAACACUACUAUACCAUUUUUCAUUCUAACUCCCAUCCUACUGUGGCAACUCUGGUUAAAUCGCAAUAAUAAUCAUUUCAAAAACCAAAAUCACCAAAUUGACCCCACCACAAUCAUCUCACUAGCGUCCCAAGUAUAUUACUUAACAAAUAUCUCUAGCAACAAAACCAAGGGUAAGAGAAAUUAUUCCUUGGACUAAACCUCAAGCACCUCAUUAUAAACUCAACAUUGACGUGGCCUACGACCCAACAAAUCAUCAUGGAGGAGCAGGAGGAGUCUUCUGUGACUCCAUAGGGCAAUGGAUUUAUGGAUUUGCAACACACAUACCAAGUACAAAUGUCCUACAAGCAGAACUACUGGCACUGUAUCAUGGGCUUACUAUUGCUAUCAACCGAAGCCUCCAUCCAAUAAUGGUCGAAACAGACUCACAGGUCAAUGAUCCAGGAACUCAACAUCCAACAAGUUAAUCACAUAAUGAGAGAAAGCAACGGAGUGGCGGACGCACUUGCUAAAUUCGAAAAAUUAGACACAGGACCACCACCACACCUAAUUGUGUUU